CCCCCACCAUGGGGCUCGAACCCACGUCCAUAAGGUUAAGAGCCUUGUGCUCUACCAACUAAGCAAUAUAUCC
rnacentral:tRNA from 1 species